rnacentral:tRNA from 1 species
GCCUGGUUAGCUCAGUCGGUAGAGCAUGAGACUCUUAAUCUCAGGGUCGUCGGUUCGAGCCCCACAUUGGGCG